UAGGGAAUCUUCCACAAUGGACGAAAGUCUGAUGGAGCAACGCCGCGUGAGUGAAGAAGGGUUUCGGCUCGUAAAACUCUGUUGUUAAAGAAGAACAUAUCUGAGAGUAACUGUUCAGGUAUUGACGGUAUUUAACCAGAAAGCCACGGCUAACUAUGUGCCAG
rnacentral:rRNA from 1 species